GAUGAACGCUAGCGAUAGGCUUAACACAUGCAAGUCGAGGGGCAGCACAAGGUAGCUUGCUAUCUGGGUGGCGACCGGCGCACGGGUGCGUAACGCGUAUGCAACUUUCCCUAUACAGGAGGAUAACCCGUCGAAAGACGGACUAAUACUGCGUAUGCUCACAACUUGGCAUCAAGUGGUGAGGAAAGAAAUUCGGUAUAGGAUAGGCAUGCGUCCCAUUAGCUUGUUGGUGAGGUAACGGCUCACCAAGGCAACGAUGGGUAGGGGAACUGAGAGGUUUAUCCCCCACACUGGUACUGAGACACGGGCCAGACUCCUACGGGAGGCAGCAGUGAGGAAUAUUGGUCAAUGGGCGCGAGCCUGAACCAGCCAAGUUGCGUGAAGGAUGACUGUCUUAUGGAUUGUAAACUUCUUUUAGACGGGAAUAACAAGAGUCACGUGUGACUCCCUGCAUGUACCGUAUGAAUAAGCAUCGGCUAACUCCGUG
rnacentral:rRNA from 1 species